rnacentral:rRNA from 1 species
UACGUAGGGUGCGAGCGUUAAUCGGAAUUACUGGGCGUAAAGCGUGCGCAGGCGGUUUUGUAAGCCAGAUGUGAAAUCCCCGGGCUUAACCUGGGAAUGGCAUUUGGGACUGCAAGGCUGGAGUUUGGCAGAGGAGACUGGAAUUCCUGGUGUAGCAGUGAAAUGCGUAGAUAUCAGGAGGAACACCGAUGGCGAAGGCAGGUCACUGGGCCGCAACUGACGCUGAGGAGCGAAAGCAUGGGGAGCGAACAGG